CAGCCGCCACGGGAAUACGAAGGGUGCAGGCGUUAAUCGGAAUUACUGGGCGUAAAGCGUGCGUAGGUGGUGGUUUAAGUCCGUUGUGAAAUCCCCGGGCUCAACCUGGGAAUGGCAAUGGAUACUGGCAAGCUAGAGUGUGUCAGAGGAUGGUGGAAUUCCCGGUGUAGCGGUGAAAUGCGUAGAGAUCGGGAGGAACAUCAGUGGCGAAGGCGGCCAUCUGGGACAACACUGACGCUGAGGCACGAAAGCGUGGGGAGCAAACAGGAUUAGAUACCCCAGUAGUCCCUGUCUCUUAUAA
rnacentral:rRNA from 1 species